CCAGGGGGCCGGGCAGCCGCGUCGCUCGCCAGAGCGUCGAGGAAAGUCCGGGCUCCACGAAACGAGGGUGGCGGGUAACGCCCGCCCGGGGAAACCCGAGGGACAGUGCCACAGAGAGUAGACCGCCUGCGACCCGCAGGUAAGGCUGAAAGGGUGCGGUAAGAGCGCACCGGGGCCCUGGCGACAGGGCUCGCACGGCAAACCCCACCCGGAGCAAGGCCAAAUAGGGGUCUCGCGCGAAAGCAGGGGCGUUUCGUCCCGAGAGACCCGGGUUGGCUGCUUGAGCGCACGGAGCAAUCCGUCGCCGAGAUGAAUGGCUGCCCCGGCGGCGUGGGUCGCUAGCGAUACCGCCCGCCGGACAGAACCCGGCUUACAGGCCCCCUGGCUCC
rnacentral:RNase_P_RNA from 1 species